UACACCAUUGUCUUUGUUCGUUUUUGUUCCUCGAACCAAACAAAUACUUUGUGGUUAUACCGCGAAAUGAAAUGAAUCCAGCUCCACUUUCGGUUUGGGUGGUUGUGUAAACACAGUUUUCAAAAGUGGACAAUAACGUGGUAAAGUUAUGUUUGGAAAGUCAAUCAUAUGGAUAAUAGGUCAAAAUGUUAAAGGACUUUGACAGUGCUCUUGAUAUUAAAAUUUCUGCAGGAAGUAUGGCGUUAGUUCAACGCGCGUCGUAUACAGCCGUAUAACAAAAGACGGAUCACUUUUUGGAAGACCUGGGAAUUACAACACCCUAUACAUGGGUAAUAUUUUUAUAAAUAAGGAUCCUGAUUUUUGGUGUUCUACCGAAGAUCCGGGUCCAGGAAGACAUAACGAUUAUUGGAUGAGCUACGUAUCUGAUUCUAAGUUUCUUUCGGAGCUGUCCAUACCUGGCACACACAAUACUAUGAGUUAUGCUUAUGAUGGAAACAUCACUGGACUAUGGGUUAGGUGUCAGAGUUUGUUAUUAAGUAUUCAGCUGAAUAUGGGAGUAAGAUUUCUUGACAUUAGGUGUCAGGCUUCCAAUGGUGAGAUGUUACUCAAGCACGGGGGAUAUAACCUUGGUAAGCUGACAGAUACAUUGACCGGCUGUGUAAACUUUCUUCAAACACACCCACGUGAAUGUGUUAUCUUAAGGAUUGCACAAGAAAACAGUAAUCUAAAGGGACUUGAUUUUAGGGAUGCGAUGAAACCCUUCUUGGACAGGUUUGCGAGACAUAUCCUAAAAAAAAGAUCAAUGCCAACCCUUGGCGAAGCAAGAGGGAAGAUGGUUAUUCUGGCAGACUAUGAUAUCAAAGAUACCGAUGAAAUGAUGAAGUAUGGAAAUAUGAUCAUCUGUGACAACUCUAAACCAGACUCAUUCUCACAAAAGACGGACGGCAUAAUAGCUAACAUAGAGAAAGCAAGGGACUCCAAAACUACAAGGGAUGAGAAACAAUUGUACAUUACGUUCACAUAUAGAUAUACAUGGUUAGGAAUAGAAUGCCCUCGAGAGAUAACACGACGAUCAAAUCCUACAUGGCAUUAUUUAGUAAGACAUCACAUAGGCUGCCUUGGUAUUGUUGUCAUGGACUUUCCGGGAUAUAAAGUGAUUCGAGACAUUAUCAAUCACAACGGGGAUUAUCCUUAUCCUCUCUAGAUUGCACAUUCUAGGAAUCAUAUAGUACAUCGUUUAGUGAGAGAUCACAUUGGUGGUCGUUUCAUUAUCGAUUACAACUUUAUUUGUCCUGUAGAGAUUACACCUUCUACAAAUCCUACAGUUGCCUUGGCAUGUUUGGCAUGGACCAUCCAAGCAGUGCCAGAUUAAGAACGUGGAGGCCCAAAGGAAACGAAACGUUUGGGGCCCACGCCCAAUUCACCUAUUAGCCUACUAAAACGCCGGUGUCAAGUCGAUUUCACUCGUUUAAAUUAUCCUACCAGUGCCAAGGCUGGCAAAACAAAAUACGACAAUGUUCUUUUAUAUGUAUACGUGGCUUUGCCAAGUCAUUCGAUAAGGCUAAGUAUGCAGGCCUAAGUAAAAAACAAUAUUUCGUCAAUGUCUCAUGGGGCCCCUAAAUGUUGCUGUGCCUAUAGGGAGUUGCCUACUGUACAAAUUUAAAAUCGUUUUAAUAUUAUGUUUUUUUUUCUUGUUUUUCUUUUUCUUUUUCAGAACAAUAUAUAACUUUUCAUUUUAUUUCGUAGUUUAAUUUAACCUUUAUACAAAUGUUUUGUGUUGUACUUAACGUAAGAAUUGUGUUUUGAUUUAUUAUUCCAAUUAUUUUAAAUCUUUAAUAACAUUUUCAAAAAUCAUAAAAUCAACUUAAUAACAAUACCAGUAGUUGAUGAAGCCCUGUGGAAAUAUGCAGUUUCCUUCUAAAACACUUUUCAAAUAAAGAACAAUAUUCCGAAAAAAUGUCUGUUUGUAAAUCCAUGCUGAAAUGAAGCAAAAUUUCAGUGGAGAACAUUUUGUUUUACUUAAAUUGUUUGAAUCAUCUGUUGUAUUGUGCUGUACUCUUAUUUUAUUUUUUCAUGGUAUUUUAACAUGGAUUAUACUUAGGAUGCUGAUAUAUAAGUGUAUUUUGAUAUGUUUAAACAUUGUCAUUAUUAUAGUUUUAAUUGUUAAUGCAAGUUGUUUUAGUAUCUUAUUUGAAUGUUUUAAUAUUGUCAUUGGCAAUGAAGUCACGAUGAUCCAAAUGGUAAACUAUAUGAUGUUACGUCUCUAAAGCUUUAAAGUAAAGACGAGAUGUAGUUGAUACUCGUUUCGGUUACAUUUCAUCGUGCCUCAGACAGUUACGGUUCUGGUGCUCUGGUCUGCAUAUAACCAUUGAGUAGUUGAAUGGUUAAUAACCCAUUUAUGCCUAGUGGACUCUCCCAUCCUUCUAAAUUGGAUCAAUUUAUUUCCAAAAUUAGGGAUGUCUAAUAUAUUUAUUUCUGUAUUAAGAAUAUUUCUUACAGAAAUUCCUUUAAGCAAACAGCGAAAACCCUGAUGAAACGCCGCAUCAUGCGGUGUCUCAUCUGGGUCUACGCUGUUUGUUUAUGCCUGUUUUCUAGACGCUAGGCAUACAUGGGUUAAAUGAAAAGUUGUCUCUUUAAUUGCUAUUUUAUUUGUAUCCUGACGCAAUGAGGUAAAUUUUUAUUUACAUUUAAAUGUUAAAUGAAUAAUUCUGGGCCCAAUGUGAGCUAUGGAGCUCUUAAAAACCGGUUUAAGCUACCAUCGUUUUCCCGGUUCCUAUCCUGUGACCCCACGUUUGUGCUUUUGUUAUGUGUCUUGUCUGGAGCAUUUAUUUGUCUCACUAUUUGGCAAGUUUCACUGUAUGUAUCUCUGUACUUAUCCUCAUAGAUUUUAUUAUGUUUUUACUAAUUAGCUACUUCUAUAGCUAUUUGGAAUAUUUAAAGUAAUGUAAAAAUAAAGCGGUCCUUUUUAUUAAUAUAUGUGUAAUAUUUUAGUAGAGGCGGGGUACUGAUACAAUAGCCAUAACACUCAUGUUUUUGUAUAAAUACAUGUGACAUAAGUAUUUUACUUUUUAUAAUCAACAUAAUUAUUACAAAAUAUAAUCAGAAUAAAUAAAAAAAAGAAUAUUAGCAACUUAUUCGAUAUCAAAAGAUAACAUAAAACAGCCAAAUAUUUCUCAUUUAGCUUGAAGAAGAUAACUACUCAGUAAGCAGGCAUGUUUCAGAUAAAAUACGGUUACACGUGUGCCAAAUAUACAUUAGUUUCAACCUAGGGAAAUGACAUACGCCAUGCAUGCUCUCGGUCUCGUGCAAUCCACCUUGCAAUAUUAAGAAUACCCACAUUGUGAUUUAAGUUGUGGAACAUUCUAAAAGCCCGACAUUUUGGUCACGGUCUUAUAUUUAUUCCUGAUAAAUCAGCUAGAAACCCUUCUAAGCACGUAUCCAGCAAAUUACAAAACCUUGCCGCAAUCCUCGCUCAUACACCUUGUUAUAAUAUUAACCCUUUGCAUGCUGGGUAAUUUGUCGUCUGCUAAAAUGUCGUAUGCUGAAUUUCUAAAAUUAGCAUUUUCUUCGAUUUUUUUCAAAGAAUACUAUCAGAAUAGCAAACAGUUUGGAUCCAGAUGAGACGCCACGUUCUGUGGCGUCUCAUAUGGAUCCAAACUGUUUGCAAAGGCCUUCAAAAUUCGGUUCCCGCACUGAAAGGGUUAAAGAACCGCCUUCGGAUAAUUUCAGGUUAGGCGCUUGAUGUUAUUUAUUUGUUAACUUUAGAUACUAACUUGUUACUUGUAUACAGUUUUUAGUUGUUUGACUAAAUACUACAAUUCAUAGUUAGAAUUAAUAUUCGUUUGACAAUGAUUUCAUACACCUUGUGGCAGUAUUUAAUAACUGCCUCGGCUAAUUCAGAGUGUGUUCUGGUACUGUUAAUGGUUAGAAGUUUGCUAUUUAUUUUAUUGUUUUACACUUUGGAUUUUAAAUUGUAACUUGUAUACAUUUUUACUUAAUACAGCAAUUCAUAGUUAUAAUUAAUAUUCGUUUGACAAGGAUUUAAUUUCAACUUAUAAAAUAAAAUAUUAUUAAUUUUAUAUAUUCAUUAGGAAUGUAAAUCAAUAUUUAUCAUUGUAUAUGAUUAAUCGGCAUGUAAAUUAAUAUUUUCAAUUAUUAUUAGAAUGCUGAUCUAUACAUAAUAUCGAACAUCAAAACAACAUUAUAGUAAAAUAAAUAAAUGUUACAAUGA